AUAUAACUAAGCGGAGGAAAAGAAACUAACCAGGAUUCCCCUAGUAACGGCGAGUGAAGCGGGAUGAGCUCAAGCUUAAAAUCUCCAUGCAAGUUUUGCGUGGCGAAUUGUAGUCUAUAGAUGCGCUGUCAGCGCGGCCGGCCGAGGCAAGUUCCUUGGAAGAGGACAGCAUGGAGGGUGAUACUCCCGUGAUUCCUUGGUCGGCGUGCGCGUACGACACGUUUUCUUCGAGUCGCGUUGUUUGGGAAUGCAGCGCAAAGCAGGUGGUAAAUUCCAUCUAAAGCUAAAUACUGGUGCGCGCCCGCUCUCUCCCCCUUCCCUUUCC
rnacentral:rRNA from 1 species